GUAGGUCCCGAGCGUUGUCCGGAUUUAUUGGGCGUAAAGCGAGCGCAGGCGGUUUGAUAAGUCUGAAGUUAAAGGCUGUGGCUCAACCAUAGUUCGCUUUGGAAACUGUCAAACUUGAGUGCAGAAGGGGAGAGUGGAAUUCCAUGUGUAGCGGUGAAAUGCGUAGAUAUAUGGAGGAACACCGGUGGCGAAAGCGGCUCUCUGGUCUGUAACUGACGCUGAGGCUCGAAAGCGUGGGGAGCGAAC
rnacentral:rRNA from 1 species